UGGGUAGGGGAGCGUUCUGUAAGCCUGUGAAGGUGGCCUGUGAGGGUUGCUGGAGGUAUCAGAAGUGCGAAUGCUGACAUAAGUAACGAUAAAGCGGGUGAAAAGCCCGCUCGCCGGAAGACCAAGGGUUCCUGUCCAACGUUAAUCGGGGCAGGGUGAGUCGACCCCUAAGGCGAGGCCGAAAGGCGUAGUCGAUGGGAAACGGGUUAAUAUUCCCGUACUUGGUGUUACUGCGAAGGGGGGACGGAGAAGGCUAUGUUGGCCGGGCGACGGUUGUCCCGGUUUAAGCGUGUAGGUGUGUGUUCCAGGUAAAUCCGGUUCACUUUAACACUGAGGCGUGAUGACGAGGCACUACGGUGCUGAAGCAACAAAUGCCCUGCUUCCAGGAAAAGCCUCUAAGCAUCAGGUAACAUCAAAUCGUACCCCAAACCGACACAGGUGGUCAGGUAGAGAAUACCAAGGCGCUUGAGAGAACUCGGGUGAAGGAACUAGGCAAAAUGGUGCCGUAACUUCGGGAGAAGGCACGCUGACACGUAGGUGAAGUGAUUUACUCACGGAGCUGAAGUCAGUCGAAGAUACCAGCUGGCUGCAACUGUUUAUUAAAAACACAGCACUGUGCAAACACGAAAGUGGACGUAUACGGUGUGACGCCUGCCCGGUGCCGGAAGGUUAAUUGAUGGGGUCAGCGCAAGCGAAGCUCCUGAUCGAAGCCCCGGUAAACGGCGGCCGUAACUAUAACGGUCCUAAGGUAGCGAAAUUCCUUGUCGGGUAAGUUCCGACCUGCACGAAUGGCGUAAUGAUGGCCAGGCUGUCUCCACCCGAGACUCAGUGAAAUUGAACUCGCUGUGAAGAUGCAGUGUACCCGCGGCAAGACGGAAAGACCCCGUGAACCUUUACUAUAGCUUGACACUGAACAUUGAGCCUUGAUGUGUAGGAUAGGUGGGAGGCUUUGAAGUGUGGACGCCAGUCUGCGUGGAGCCAACCUUGAAAUACCACCCUUUAAUGUUUGAUGUUCUAACGUGGACCCGUAAUCCGGGUUGCGGACAGUGUCUGGUGGGUAGUUUGACUGGGGCGGUCUCCUCCUAAAGAGUAACGGAGGAGCACGAAGGUUGGCUAAUCCUGGUCGGACAUCAGGAGGUUAGUGCAAUGGCAUAAGCCAGCUUGACUGCGAGCGUGACGGCGCGAGCAGGUGCGAAAGCAGGUCAUAGUGAUCCGGUGGUUCUGAAUGGAAGGGCCAUCGCUCAACGGAUAAAAGGUACUCCGGGGAUAACAGGCUGAUACCGCCCAAGAGUUCAUAUCGACGGCGGUGUUUGGCACCUCGAUGUCGGCUCAUCACAUCCUGGGGCUGAAGUAGGUCCCAAGGGUAUGGCUGUUCGCCAUUUAAAGUGGUACGCGAGCUGGGUUUAGAACGUCGUGAGACAGUUCGGUCCCUAUCUGCCGUGGGCGCUGGAGAACUGAGGGGGGCUGCUCCUAGUACGAGAGGACCGGAGUGGACGCAUCACUGGUGUUCGGGUUGUCAUGCCAAUGGCACUGCCCGGUAGCUAAAUGCGGAAGAGAUAAGUGCUGAAAGCAUCUAAGCACGAAACUUGCCCCGAGAUGAGUUCU
rnacentral:rRNA from 1 species